ACGACAUGACAUUUAAAGCUUAACGAAAUAUAGGAAAUAAAAGAACACCAAGUUGAAGUUUAAGGGUUUGGUUCUAAUGAGAGCAACGUCAUUUUGGCUUCUACCUGUAUUUAUUGGCCUUGAUGUCAACAAA